rnacentral:rRNA from 1 species
CUACCCUUGACAUGUCAGGAAUCCUCGAGAGAUUGAGGAGUGCCCGAAAGGGAACCUGAACACAGGUGCUGCAUGGCUGUCGUCAGCUCGUGUCGUGAGAUGUUGGGUUAAGUCCCGCAACGAGCGCAACCCUUGUCAUUAGUUGCUACGCAAGAGCACUCUAAUGAGACUGCCGGUGACAAACCGGAGGAAGGUGGGGAUGACGUCAAGUCCUCAUGGCCCUUAUGGGUAGGGCUUCACACGUCAUACAAUGGUACAUACAGAGGGCCGCCAACCCGCGAGGGGGAGCUAAUCCCAGAAAGUGUAUCGUAGUCCGGAUCGUAGUCUGCAACUCGACUACGUGAAGUUGGAAUCGCUAGUAAUCGCGGAUCAGC